AAGUAGGUGACUCAUGAAGUGGGUAAGAGGUCCGGGAUCAGGGCAGGGGUGCUGGGUAAACAAAGGAGCUGUGGCAGAACUUGAGGAAUCCAGGCAGGGGGCUGAACAGACACAGGAACUGCGCAAGCCCUCUAUUACAGAAGGCUUCAGGACAUUUUGUAAGAAAGACAUUUUUUCCUUCAAAUACUGAAUGAAAUAGAUGGAAGAGAACAAAGAAGACAUAUUACACUUGCUGCAGAAGGCUUAAAAAAUGAACAACAGUCUGCGGAAUUAAUAUCUAUUCAAUUUCUAAUGCCCCUGUGAUGUUCUCAUCCCCAGUUUGGGACAGUGUCCAGGAAGAAAUAAUACAGCUUCUCUCCCGUGAUGAAUCAAGAAAAGAAGAGUUGCAAAGUAUAAACUGUAAAUGCAUGAAGGCACAUACAUAGAAAACAUUAGGAAAUAGUUUCUUUCUUUCUUUAAACUUCUUUAAAUGUAUUUGAGUGAACUGUUUAACAUCAGCUUAUUUUUUCCUACAACUGUAUUUAUGGCUUGCUGUAUCUGAAAAGUUUCAUGUAUAGAAUACACAUAUUUAGUGAUAUAUUAGUAUAAGGAUAAUCUAUAGCAAUUUGAAGAUAGAAUUAAUUUUCAUUUGUAUGAUCUUUUGUGCAUUUGUAUUUGAAAAUAAAAAAUCUUUCCUUAUUUAGGCUUUUACUUCUGAUCAUAUUUCCUCUGAUCUUCAUAAAAGUAAGGGUUCUCUAGACAUAUUUUUCUAAUAAAUA